rnacentral:tRNA from 1 species
GGGAUUGUGGCUCAGAGGUAGAGCGCUCACCUUGCAUGUGCGAGGUCCUGGGUUUGAUCCUCAGCACCA